rnacentral:ncRNA from 1 species
AACUCCUAACCUGACAAAGCUUAACCAGCAGUCAGUAUCCAGCCUUGGAGCCGAAAUCGUGAGAUAAGGUUUAAGCGUAGGCAGGAGAGCACAAGAGCCGCAAGGGAAACCUGAAGUGAUUGGGCCUCGUAAAAAAUAUAAUGUAAGUGUCGAUGCUUUUAAGCGGGCAGCAGACAGUAAGAAACAAUCGAUAAAGGUGAUGAUUGUUGAAAACUUACCGGGGUCGUAGAGC